rnacentral:lncRNA from 1 species
AUCUCUCAAGAUUUUGGGAGAUCACAAAAAGGCUACAGUGUCUUGUGAGGAGACUUUUCCCUGGUUCAGCGGUAGGCUGUACCUCUGUCCCAGGGCCUUUGCCCUCCUGUUCCUCCUCCCACCCUUAAUAGAUGCUUUCAUUAGGGCUACUGUAUGCAGCAGAAUUAAAGCCCCAAACCAUAGUUUCAUUAAAUUUGUAAGAAUCAUUCCCUCAAACCAGAAACCAGAGCUUGGCCCUCUAAAUUCCAUCUCCACUCUCUAUAGAAAAGAAUAGGGAAAGAAAAACCCAACAAGGAUUGCAGGAGACUCUGGCCUCUGAUAUCACUGAUGUCCAGAAACAAGAUUCUGAGUGGGGACACAGCCUGCCAGGGCGAAUUGUCCCACCCCUGCAGCACAACUCACCUCCACCUAAGGAGCGAGCAGCCACCGGCUUCUUUGGGUUUCUAAGCUCUCUCUUCCCGUUUCGAUAUUUCUUCAGGAAGAGCAGCCACUCUUGAGCCUUCCAAAUGCAGCGCUGGAAAGAGGAUCAUCUCUUGUAGUGACUCCUCCCGAGCCAUUCUUCCUCCAACUCUAUCCUUUUCUUAUGACACUUCAGUCGUGGGGAAUGAGGUCCCCAUGCUGAGUCCUCUGUGGUUUUAUCGUGUCCUUUGCCCCUUUAUAAUAGAUUUUUUCCCCCAAUUUAAAACAUUAAGAAUGGAACUUUCUAAAAUGUUCAUGUCCUGAGGGCCGGUUUAGGCCUUUUGUCUUCGGCACUUAGGAUCCUA